UACGUAGGGACCGAGCGUUGUCCGGAUUCAUUGGGCGUAAAGAGCUCGUAGGCGGCCACUCAAGUCGAAUGUGAAACCUCGAGGCUUAACCUCGAGCCUGCAUUUGAUACUGGGCGGCUAGAGUCUGGUAGGGGGAUCUGGAAUUCCUGGUGUAGCGGUGAAAUUCGUAGAUAUUAGGAAGAACACCAGUGGCGAAGGCGGCUCACUGGCCCGUAACUGACGCUGAGGCACGAAAGCGUGGGGAGCAAACAGGG
rnacentral:rRNA from 1 species